rnacentral:rRNA from 1 species
GAUGAACGCUAGCGGCAGGCUUAAUACAUGCAAGUCGUACGGGAUCCGAGGUAGCAAUACUUUGGUGAGAGUGGCGCACGGGUGCGUAACACGUAUGCAACCUACCUAUAACCGGGACACAACCCACCGAAAGGUGAGCUAAUAUCCCAUAACACUGCGAGAUGGCAUCAUAUUGCAGUUAAAACUCUGGUGGUUAUAGAUGGGCAUGCGCGACAUUAGCUAGUUGGUGAGGUAACGGCUCACCAAGGCGACGAUGUCUAGGGGUUCUGAGAGGAAGGUCCCCCACACUGGUACUGAGACACGGACCAGACUCCUACGGGAGGCAGCAGUGAGGAAUAUUGGUCAAUGGGCGAGAGCCUGAACCAGCCAAGUCGCGUGAAGGAAGAAGGUUCUAUGGAUUGUAAACUUCUUUUGCAGGGGAAUAAAGGACGGUACGUGUACUGUUUUGUAUGUACCUUGCGAAUAAGGAUCGGCUAACUCCGUG